rnacentral:tRNA from 1 species
GGGUCGUAGCUCAGCUGGUUAGAGCGCCGGCCUGUCACGCCGGAGGUCGCGAGUUCGAGUCUCGUCGGCCC